AUCCAGCUGACGAGUCCCAAAUAGGACGAGUUGCGCAUCCUGGAU
rfam:Trichobilharzia regenti genome assembly, scaffold: TRE_scaffold0104215